rnacentral:rRNA from 1 species
AGUGAACGCGGCGGCGUGCCUAAUACAUGCAAGUCGAACGGAAUUUAAAAGAGCUUGCUCUUUUAAAUUUAGUGGCGCACGGGUGAGUAAUAUAUAGCUAAUCUGCCCCUUGCUGGAGGACAACAGUUAGAAAUGACUGCUAAUACUCCAUACUCCUUUUUACCAUAAGAUAAAUCGGGAAAGAAUUUCGGCAAGGGAUGAGACUAUAUCGUAUCAGCUAGUCGGUGGGGUAACGGCCUACCGAGGCUAUGACGCGUAACUGGUCUGAGAGGAUGAUCAGUCACAUUGGAACUGAGACACGGUCCAAACUCCUACGGGAGGCAGCAGUAGGGAAUAUUGCGCAAUGGGGGAAACCCUGACGCAGCAACGCCGCGUGGAGGAUGACACUUUUCGGAGCGUAAACUCCUUUUGUUAGGGAAGAAUAAUGACGGACCUAACGAUAGCCC